rnacentral:rRNA from 1 species
GUCCACGCUGUAAACGAUGAUUACUCGAUGUUGGCGAUACACAGUCAGCGUCUUAGCGAAAGCGUUAAGUAAUCCACCUGGGGAGUACGCCCGCAAGGGUGAAACUCAAAGGAAUUGACGGGGGCCCCGCACAAGCGGUGGAGCAUGUGGUUUAAUUCGAUGAUACGCGAGGAACCUUACCUAGGCUAGAAUGCGCGUGACCGGUCCAGAGAUGGACCUUUCCUCGGGACACAAAAGCAAGGUGCUGCAUGGCCGUCGU